rnacentral:tRNA from 1 species
GGGGACGUAGCUUAGUGGUGGAGUACUUGCUUAUCAUGCAUGAGGCCUUGGAUUCAAUCCCAGUUAUCCCA